UCAGGAUGAACGCCGGCGGUGUGCCUAAUACAUGCAAGUCGAACGCGUUGGCCCAAUUGAUUGAUGGUGCUUGCACCUGAUUGAUUUUGGUCGCCAACGAGUGGCGGACGGGUGAGUAACACGUAGGUAACCUGCCCAGAAGCGGGGGACAACAUUUGGAAACAGAUGCUAAUACCGCAUAACAGCGUUGUUCGCAUGAACAACGCUUAAAAGAUGGCUUCUCGCUAUCACUUCUGGAUGGACCUGCGGUGCAUUAGCUUGUUGGUGGGGUAACGGCCUACCAAGGCGAUGAUGCAUAGCCGAGUUGAGAGACUGAUCGGCCACAAUGGGACUGAGACACGGCCCAUACUCCUACGGGAGGCAGCAGUAGGGAAUCUUCCACAAUGGGCGCAAGCCUGAUGGAGCAACACCGCGUGAGUGAAGAAGGGUUUCGGCUCGUAAAGCUCUGUUGUUAAAGAAGAACACGUAUGAGAGUAACUGUUCAUACGUUGACGGUAUUUAACCAGAAAGUCACGGCUAACUACGUGCCAGCAGCCGCGGUAAUACGUAGGUGGCAAGCGUUAUCCGGAUUUAUUGGGCGUAAAGAGAGUGCAGGCGGUUUUCUAAGUCUGAUGUGAAAGCCUUCGGCUUAACCGGAGAAGUGCAUCGGAAACUGGAUAACUUGAGUGCAGAAGAGGGUAGUGGAACUCCAUGUGUAGCGGUGGAAUGCGUAGAUAUAUGGAAGAACACCAGUGGCGAAGGCGGCUACCUGGUCUGCAACUGACGCUGAGACUCGAAAGCAUGGGUAGCGAACAGGAUUAGAUACCCUGGUAGUCCAUGCCGUAAACGAUGAGUGCUAGGUGUUGGAGGGUUUCCGCCCUUCAGUGCCGGAGCUAACGCAUUAAGCACUCCGCCUGGGGAGUACGACCGCAAGGUUGAAACUCAAAGGAAUUGACGGGGGCCCGCACAAGCGGUGGAGCAUGUGGUUUAAUUCGAAGCUACGCGAAGAACCUUACCAGGUCUUGACAUCUUGCGCCAACCCUAGAGAUAGGGCGUUUCCUUCGGGAACGCAAUGACAGGUGGUGCAUGGUCGUCGUCAGCUCGUGUCGUGAGAUGUUGGGUUAAGUCCCGCAACGAGCGCAACCCUUGUUACUAGUUGCCAGCAUUAAGUUGGGCACUCUAGUGAGACUGCCGGUGACAAACCGGAGGAAGGUGGGGACGACGUCAGAUCAUCAUGCCCCUUAUGACCUGGGCUACACACGUGCUACAAUGGACGGUACAACGAGUCGCGAACUCGCGAGGGCAAGCAAAUCUCUUAAAACCGUUCUCAGUUCGGACUGCAGGCUGCAACUCGCCUGCACGAAGUCGGAAUCGCUAGUAAUCGCGGAUCACAUGCC
rnacentral:rRNA from 1 species